GCAGCGGAUCCGCAUGGAUAUGUUGUUAAAGGUUUACCGCCUUGGGAUAGGCUUGCGUCUGAUUAGCUAGUUGGUGUGGUAACGGCACACCAAGGCUACGGUCAGUAACUGGUCUGAGAGGAUGAUCAGUCACACUGGAACUGAGACACGGUCCAGACUCCUACGGGAGGCAGCAGUGAGGAAUAUUGGGCAAUGCUCGAAAGAGUGACCCAGCAACGCCGCGUGGAGGAUGAAGGUAUUCUAUAUCGUAAACUCCUGUGAGAGCAGACGAAAGACAGAUUAUUAAUCUGGAUGACUGUAUGCUCAGAGGAAGCCCCGGCUAACUACGUG
rnacentral:rRNA from 1 species